UGAGUGCUGGAGAGGAGAGAGGAAUUACCACGUGUAGCGGGAAAAUGCGUAGAAAUGUGGAGGGACACACAGUGGGGAAGGCGACUCUCUGGCCAGCAACUGACGCUGAGGCGCGGAAGCGUGCGGAGCAAUCAGGAUUAGAUACUCUGGUAGUCCUCCCCGUAAAUCAUGAGUGUUAAGUGUUAGAGGGGUCACACCCCUUAGGGCUGCAGCUAUCACGAUAAGCACUCCGCCUGGGGAGUACGGGCGCAAGGCUGAAACUCAAAGGAAUUGACGGGGGCCCGCUCAAGCGGUGGGGCAUGUGGUAUAAUUUGAAGCAACGCGAAGAACCUUAGCAGGUCUUGACAUCCCCUGACAACCCCAGAGAUUGGGCGUUCCCCCUUCGGGGGGACAGGGUGACAGGUGUUGCAUGGUUGUCGUCAGCUCGUGUCGUGAGAUGUUGGGUUAAGUCCCGCAACGAGCGCUACCUUCGCCUUUAGUUGCCAGCACGAAGGUGGGCACUCUAGAGGGACUGCCGGCGUCAAGUCGGAGGAAGGGGGGGAUGACGUCAAAUCAUCAUCCCCCUUGUUAACUGGGCUACACACGUGCUACAAUGUGCGGUGUAAAUGGAUGCGAACCCCCGAGGGGGAGCUAAUCCCAC
rnacentral:rRNA from 1 species